rnacentral:rRNA from 1 species
AACAAGGUUUCCGUAGGUGAACCUGCGGAAGGAUCAUUACCGAGUUGAUUCGAGCUCCGGCUCGACUCUCCCACCCCAUGUGUACCUACCUCUGUUGCUUUGGCGGGCCGCGGUCCUCCGCACCGACCCCCGUUCGGGGGGCCGGCCAGCGCCCGCCAGAGGACCACAAAACUCCAGUCAGUAAACGUCGCAGUCUGAGAAACAAGUUAAUAAACUAAAACUUUCAACAACGGAUCUCUUGGUUCUGGCAUCGAUGAAGAACGCAGCGAAAUGCGAUAAGUAAUGUGAAUUGCAGAAUUCAGUGAAUCAUCGAAUCUUUGAACGCACAUUGCGCCCCUUGGUAUUCCGAGGGGCAUGCCUGUUCGAGCGUCAUUUCAACCCUCAAGCUCUGCUUGGUAUUGGGCUCCGUCCUCUGUGGACGCGCCUCGAAGACCUCGGCGGUGGCGUCUUGCCUCAAGCGUAGUAGAAAACACCUCGCUUUGGAGCGCACGGCGUCGCCCGCCGGACGAACCUUUGAAUUUUUCUCAAGGUUGACCUCGGAUCAGGUAGGGAUACCCGCUGAACUUAAGCAUAUCA